GCCGAAGUGGUGGAAUUGGUAGACACGCCGUCUUGAGGGGGCGGUGGGGUUACACCCGUGGGGGUUCGAGUCCCCCCUUCGGCACCA
rnacentral:tRNA from 1 species